UAGCAUGAUCGUUUCCAGCGAGCCGUUUCUGGAAGUUAAUGACCUGUGAGCUACAGACAUGUGGAGGACUCGUUGAUGUCCGUUCCAGUGGCGCUUUAGCUCAUUCAUUCUGCAACAAUCACAGUCGUUGAUAUUUGCAACACCAGCCGGGCUUCUGUUCGGAGCGGGAGGAUUUAAUCUCUGCGGGGAUCUGAGUCAGAAAUCGGCGGAGCAGCGGGAGAAGGCAAGGAGAUAUGUCUUACUAUUCCUCCCGUAGUUCGUCUCGGGCCACCGACUGCAAAGUGUACGUGGGUGACUUGGGCAAUGGUGCUGCCAAGGGGGAGCUGGAGAGAGCAUUCAGUUAUUAUGGCCCGCUGAGAACCGUAUGGGUGGCCAGGAACCCACCUGGGUUUGCAUUUGUGGAGUUUGAGGAUCCUAGAGAUGCAGAAGAUGCUGUUAAAGGCAUGGAUGGGAAGCUCCUUUGUGGGUCCCGUGUUCGUGUGGAGAUGUCAACAGGCCUCUCCAGGAAGGGCCGUGGGCGCCCCAGCCGACGACAGUUCGACCCCAAUGAUCGGUGUUACCAGUGUGGGGACCGGGGUCAUUAUGCCUAUGACUGCUACCGCUUCAGCAAGAGAGGGGGAGGAGGAGGAGGUCGUCGCGGCAGCAGAUCUCGCUCUCGUUCCCGAUCUCGCUCCAGGUCCAGGUCCCGUGGGCGCCGUUAUCGAUCUCGCUCCCGCAGCCGUAGCCACAGCCGGAGUCGUCGCCGAUCUCCAUCCUAUUCCAGGCGCAGGAGCAGGUCUGGCUCCCAAGCUCGUUCCAAGUCCAGGACUCCGUUAAGAAGUCGCUCCAGAUCUCGGUCUCGGUCCGGCUCUGCACCCAGAGGACGAUCCGUCUCCAGAUCCCGCUCACGAACUCCGUCAGCCAAUCACAAGAGGAACAGCGUGUGGUGGGAGCUGAGCACUGCACUGACACCGCAGCUGAUCCCAGGCCCAGGGUCUGCCAGCUGGCGGUGUGUACGUCCUGCGGGAGGGUGACUAAGCGCUGACCUGAGAUCAGCCUUCGCCUGCAUCUGGUCUUAGACAGCGAGAAAGAGGUCGACCUACCGACCGAACCCUCCCCACAGUGACCGUCAGUUCAACCGACGCACGCGCUCAGACGAGAUCAGCCCGUGCACACAUAGAGUUGUUCUACUAGAGUCACCCACCCACCCAGCCAGCCAGCCAGCCUUCAGAUGUACCAGAGGGCUGACCCACACAGAUCAGAGUUCGACCACUACCUUUUUAAAUCCAUUACCUACCUACGUACCAGACCCCCCUACCUACCUACCAGAGUUCUUCGGCCUCUGUCUUAGCUUCUGAAAGUGAGAGAAAGAGAGCUGACGAGAGAUCAGUCUUCAAGAGCCUCCCUGCGCAGUGUCUCUCCAAGUUGUAGUCAUCCGUCCUUCAGUCCUUUCAUCCUUCGCUUCUCUGUACUUGUUGUUUCUGCCACUGUCUCCAAAGUCGUUCCCGUUCAGCCAGUCCACACCGAAGCCCAACACCAGUGAGAGUGAAGAUUGAAGAAGACUAAUUAGUUCCUUAACAGACAGGCCCUCAACCCCUGCACCCUGCUUGCUUUUACAGCCCUGCAGCUGCUGUUUUUUGUACAUGUCUGUCUAGUCCCAGUCUUUUUUUUUUAAGUUUAAUUUUCUCCCCAGGACUGUAGUCUUCAUGCAGCCUCAGAUCGUUGACGAUUUAGUCAGUAUAGCAAAAAAAAAAAAAAAUCAUUAAUUUGAUAGAUUGUUUUAAGUGUUGCGGCUGCUGCAUAGAUCAUCUUUCUUCUCUGAAGGUCCGUAGCAAGUAAAAACUAACACCUGUGUAAAGGUAAAACUGAAUGUUGCCGUUGACUUUUAGCAGUGAUUUGAGCAGCUCCUACAGUGAAUACUUUGUGGAAGAGCCCAGUUGAUGUAACUCUUGAGGGUAAAGACAUUGCAUCGAAAACUGCUUUUAUUACAUAAAAUUUCUAAACCUCAAUAUUUUUCCCCAUUGAGAAUUGGCAAACAAUUUUCUUUUUUGUAUUGCUCUUUGGUUCAAAUUUUUGAGUUUAAAUGCUCGCUCAGCGUUUUCACUCAUGAUGGCAUAAGGAGGUAGUUGCUGGUCUGCAUGCCUUUGAAUAUGACAUCACAUUCCUACUGUUUGUUGUGUCUGUACUGCACUGUCCCUGUUAGGAACCCGAUCAGCGUCACUGUGUGCUGAAAAGAUUUUCCCCGUGUAUUGAUCUCUGAUUUGUUCAGUGACUUUUACUUUUAAAAUAUAUACAGUGCUGAAGUUUGAUUUCUGUAAGGGCUGCUUUAACAGUUUUGUUCUGUUCCUGGCUUAUAUGUAAGACAGUGGCAGUUUUAUUUUUGAAUAAACCUCUUCAACAAA